UCGGUAGUAAUACCGAUGGGUGGCGAGUGGCGGACGGGUGAGUAAUAUGUAGGAACUUGCCUUCGUUAGGGGGAUAACACGGGGAAACUCGUGCUAAUACCGCAUAAAGUCGAGAGACCAAAGUAGGGGACCGCAAGGCCUUACGAACGAAGAGAGGCCUACAUCGGAUUAGCUAGUUGGUUAGGUAAAGGCUGACCAAGGCGACGAUCCGUAGCUGGUCUGAGAGGACGAUCAGCCACACUGGGACUGAGACACGGCCCAGACUCCUACGGGAGGCAGCAGUGGGGAAUUUUGGACAAUGGGGGCAACCCUGAUCCAGCAAUGCCGCGUGUGUGAAGAAGGCCUGCGGGUUGUAAAGCACUUUAGGUGGGGAGGAAGGUCAUUUAGUUAAUAACUAAGUGAAUUGACGUUACCCACAGAAUAAGCACCGGCUAACUCUGUGCCAGCAGCCGCGGUAAUACAGAGGGUGCAAGCGUUAAUCGGAAUUACUGGGCGUAAAGCGCCUGUAGGUGGUUAGAUAAGUUUGAUGUGAAAGCCCUGGGCUUAACCUGGGAAUCGCGUUGAAUACUGUAAGACUAGAGUCGGAUAGAGGGUCGUGGAAUUUCCGGUGUAGCGGUGAAAUGCGUAGAUAUCGGAAAGAACAUCGGUGGCGAAGGCGGCGACCUGGGUCCAGACUGACACUGAGGGGCGAAAGCGUGGGGAGCAAACAGGAUUAGAUACCCUGGUAGUCCACGCUGUAAACGAUGAGAACUGGCUGUGUGGUGGGCUUGACCUACUGCGUAGCGAAGCUAACGCGUUAAGUUCUCCGCCUGGGGAGUACGGUCGC
rnacentral:rRNA from 1 species